GUGGCGAUGACACUCUCAUACCUAAGAGACGAGCACACAGCCAGCAAGUGAGCAGCGAAGGAGCCCAGGCAACCCAGAAGAGGCCCAGCAGGCACGGAGAGAGACAGGAAGCUGCCCCACAAGAUCCUAAGAGAGUGAGGACAGAGUCCCAGAGCCUCACCUCCACCUUGAUGGCACAGCGCCCAAUGGCUCGCACAGCCUUCCGUACGAAGUCCACAUCCACCUCUGUUGCAUACUCUUUCAGCUCCGCCAGGACCUGUGGCCCAAACAGAAAAGAUGGGGUUGGGGAGAAGUGGAUCUCCCAGGGUAACCAACAUGCCUGCUCAAUGGAUACGCACGGACCCCUAAAAGGUGGGAUUCUGCCUCCAGCUCGAGGAAGAAGGGCCAAGGGAAGGAGAGAGCUAUCAGAUGCCCCAAGAGGAAAGCGGGGAAGAACUAGUUGACAGGACUGGACAUCCUCUGUUUAGGCUGUGCUAGCUAGCACGGCCUCCUAACUACUACUUUUCAGUGGAUGGAUAAUAGGAUAAUAAGUAAUAGUUGGGAGAAUAAAGGCUUUAAUCAUAAAAAUA